rnacentral:rRNA from 1 species
UACGUAGGGUGCAAGCGUUGUCCGGAAUUACUGGGCGUAAAGAGUUCGUAGGCGGUUUGUCGCGUCGUUUGUGAAAACUCACAGCUCAACUGUGAGCCUGCAGGCGAUACGGGCAGACUUGAGUACUGCAGGGGAGACUGGAAUUCCUGGUGUAGCGGUGAAAUGCGCAGAUAUCAGGAGGGAACACCGGUGGCGAAGGCGGGUCUCUGGGCAGUAACUGACGC